rnacentral:rRNA from 1 species
ACCUGCGGAGGAUCAUUACCUAGAGUUUGUAGACUUCGGUCUGCUACCUCUUACCCAUGUCUUUUGAGUACCUUCGUUUCCUCGGCGGGUCCGCCCGCCGAUUGGACAACAUUCAAACCCUUUGCAGUUGCAAUCAGCGUCUGAAAAAACAUAAUAGUUACAACUUUCAACAACGGAUCUCUUGGUUCUGGCAUCGAUGAAGAACGCAGCGAAAUGCGAUAAGUAGUGUGAAUUGCAGAAUUCAGUGAAUCAUCGAAUCUUUGAACGCACAUUGCGCCCCUUGGUAUUCCAUGGGGCAUGCCUGUUCGAGCGUCAUUUGUACCUUCAAGCUCUGCUUGGUGUUGGGUGUUUGUCUCGCCUCUGCGUGUAGACUCGCCUUAAAACAAUUGGCAGCCGGCGUAUUGAUUUCGGAGCGCAGUACAUCUCGCGCUUUGCACUCAUAACGACGACGUCCAAAAGUACAUUUUUACACUCUUGACCUCGGAUCAGGUAGGGAUACCCGCUGAACUUAAGCAUA